UGUAUCUUAUGGGUUAUUACUAUGUACUGCAUCCAAUGUUGCAGCUCGUAAUUUGCCGAUGUCAUCAUAUCUGUGUUUAUACGUAAUGUUUCCAAUUCCCAAAGACAAAUAAAGAUUGCAUUUGUAAAGAUACUAAAAGAUAGAAAAAGGCAGUAAUAAUGAAAACAAAAAAAAAAGAGGCAUUCUACUUACGUUAGAACCGACUUACAACAAAGUUGUUGGAACAGAACGCUGUUUUAAAUCGGGACUACCUGUGUAGAGUUUUAUUUUCCAUUCUUCCCUCAGAGAUGAGCUACAUUCUGAAGUACUUUAUUAUUCUUUGGUUUUCUAGUCAUUCUUAAUGCCAACUAAUUAUUGUUCACAGAGAAAUAUUCAAAGUGCAAGUUGGCAACAAUUAUUUCCUUUUACAAGUCAACUCUACCUCAGGAUCUGAAUGCCACUGAAACUUGGUCCUUGUAAUCUGCCCAAAUGCCCCAGUUUUGGUCAGAACCCGUUCUUCAAAACUAGCUCAGUUACGCCACCACUUUCCCAAAUCCACCCCUUCUCAGGGGGCUGUGGGGAAUUUCCCAAUGACUACUGGAAUUCCCUUCCACUUUCUAAUUCCCUAUUUGACAUCAGCUGUCUAUACAGAGGUCAUCAUUGGAUCCCUUGGUACGUUUCUGAAAGUAUUGGGGGAAAUGUUUAUUUCGAAUCACCUUAAAAUGGGAGGAAAUGAUUUGAAUAAACUCAUUUUCCUUGAUUUUAACUGUUUCCAUGGGCAAGUAGAGAAAUGAAUGCAUGUUUUUUUUUAAAUUAUUUUCAAAAAUAUUUAGCACCCUCCACCAACAACAAAAAAAAGCCUUGCAAAAUAUUCUAUGGUAAAAAUAUCGCAGCUCUGCAGGAGGAACUAUUUUUAUUACUUAGGGUGUCCAGAAACCAGCUCAAUAUAAAGUUGCAACUCAUGCAUUUCUCAAAGUGAACUGAAACUGACAGGCAUUUCAGCUAUUUCUCUUCCAUAAGUCUGUGGCUAUUUGUGUGAUGAAGAGAAGCUAUGAUAUUGGGUUGACUUCACCUCCAUGCAUACCCAUUCUCCUCCUUUCACCCCUGUACACCUGCUCUUCCUCCAGCAGUUCCACUCAGCUCUGUUGUAACCGCUGUUGAACAGCCAGGUGCCUUUGUGUCACCUUGCAGAGGUAGAAGAUGACUGUCAUCAGGACACCAAGGAACAACAGGACGGCUCCCAGAAGUAUCAAGCAGAGAGAGAGCAAGGAUCUGAUCUGUCCACUGUUGCCACUACAUUACACUGCCACACAGUGUCACUGUUGAGGAACUGACAAAGUCCAAACAAGGCUUGUACAAAGCUCCAGUGAUGCUCUGCUGGUUCAGAUCUCACCCAGGCUACAGACGGAGGUCCUUGGCCAACCCUGGUUCCCAGAUAAAUGGAGAAAUUCACACUCCUGGUGAACGCAUCUUGGAUAAAAGGAAAUACCUCUAACCACAUCUUGAACCGUCAAAAAUGUUAUUUAACCACUAAUUUGUGAAUAUAAGUGGAAAUACUGGGCAACUUUACUGUCCUGGGAUAGAGAGGGGGCUUCCAGGGAGCUAAAGAUUUUCCAUCAAUUCUGUCUAAAAUAUUUACCCUAUUUAACUCAGCAUUUCUAAUCCUGGGACUCUAAAGAAACUCAUCACAAAAUUUAAAAGCUAUAUUUAUGAAGAUGGUUAGCACCGUGUUUUUGAUAAUAUCAAAUAAUUUCUGAACUAUUCAACAAGAGAAGUUAUAUACAUACUUGCUAAAAAUCAUACAACACUUAAAAAAUGGUAAAUAUGAAUGUAACAACAUGAAAAUCUUUGAUGCAAGAUGAUAUAAACACAUAUGUGUAUGCAAAAAGACACAUAUUCAUGAAUUCGUAUGCAAUUAGAAACAAUCCACGUAUCAGUUAAAGUUAUUUGAUACUGAAAUAAAUUUGCUUGAAUUUUCUUACCUCACAUUCUACAAAACGUGUUCGGUAUCUACACCAAGAUUUCUCUCAAUUUCCAGGGCAUAUAUUCCCAUAAAAAAAAAAUUUUUUUUUUAUUCUCGUAGUCAAUUUUUUUUCCAUUUAUUUAAAAAAAUUAUGAAAUGUAUCUUAUAUUCAAGAGUAUUUAUAAUAUAGGUAUACAGUUUAAAAUGUAUCAGUUGUGUAUCCACCAGGCAUCAGAAUUCUACUUACUUGGUUCAACUAAAGACAUUUUAAUGAAGACACUGUUUAAAGGGGCACUGUUGUUGUUGUUAGAUGCUGUCCAGUCGGCUCCGACUCACAGUGACCUACGUACUACAAAACCAAAUGCUGCCCGGUCCUGUGCCAUCCUCACAAUCAUUGCCAUGUUUGAGCCCAAUUGUUGUAGCCACUGUGCCAAUCCAUCUCAUCGAGGGUCUUCCUCUUUUUUGCUGACCCUCUAGUUUGCCAAGCAUGGUGUCUCCACCUGUUGGUUUGUCUAUUGCGGUGGCUUGUGUGUUGCCAUGAUGCUAGAAGCUAUGCCAGCAGAGUCAUCUACAGUGGACAGGUUUCCGUGGUGCUUCCAGAUUAAGGCAAACUAGGAAGAUAGGCCUAGUGAUCUAUUUCCAAAAAUCAGCCAAUGAAAACGCUAUGGAUCACAAUGGAGUAUGUAUUGUAUCCAUCAGGCAUCAGAAUUCUACACCGAUAGAGGGCUGGAAGAUAAGCCCCCUAGUGGCCACAACAAUGUAUGUGCACAUACCAAAGAUACAGAUUGGUACAGGCAGGGGUAAGAGAAUCAGCAAGUUGAGGUAUUGAGAGAUUAGCAACAGCAAGGAGCCUCUACCAUUCCUAAGCUAAAGAGCAAGGGAGGAAAUAGUGUUCCCAGAGCCCCGUGAGCUGGAGCCAUGGAGGAGGGGCCGCUUGGCAAGAGCUGCAGCUCUGGAGGAACACAGCCACCACCAGGACCUCAGCCUGAAACAGAGAACAAGUGGAGAAAACAUACACUGACCUGUCUUUGUUCUUGCCUCCCAUCUUCUGCUGAUGCUAAUGGAAGCCAGCAGAACAGUCAGGUGAUGCCUUCCAAAGAGGAUAGCCUCUGGGGUAUAGAAUAGGGUGGAGAAGGAUAGAAGGGAGGAGGAUGGAUAUGAAGGAAGGCAAGCAGAAAACCCAGAUAGUCCACCUGUUUUUCCACCCAGCAUUUAUUCCUGUCCUUCGCUCAGAUGAAAAGAAGCUUAUACUCUACACCUGGUAAACACUGAAUUCCACCAGUCAUUAUACGUUAGAUUGUCUUGAGGUCAGGCCAAUUCAGGCAGAAUCUCACCUAGAAGCUAAAUUGUAAUAUUUGUCUCCACCAGUAUUCUUCAUACAAGGUAAUGGGGGAAAGAGGGACAGGUAAGAAAUAAUCAAUGAGCAUUUUAUAUGCAAAGCUACUAUAGUUCUUGCCUCUACAACUUGUUGGAAGGUUAAAACUGAUAAUCAUGAUUCCUACUUCUCACUUCUAUUUCCCUGGCCCCCUGCCAGUACCUUGGUUGAUCAGAACUUGGUGAAGCAGUGGUUAAGAGCUUGGCUGCUAAAUGAAGGUUGGUGGUUCAAACCCACCAGCUGCUCUGUGGUCAAAAGUCUGCUUCUAUAAAGAUUACAGCCUUGGAAACCCCAUGGGGCAGUUCUACUCUGUCCUGUAGGGUUGCUAUGAGUCGGAAUUGACUUGACAAUAAGGUUUCUUUUCUUUUUUUUUUUUUAUG